GUGCCUGCUUCAGCAGCACAUAUCCUAAAAUUGGAACCAUACAGAGAAAAUUAGCAUGGCCCUGCACAAGGAUGACUCCCACACACAAGGAUCACAUACACACACAC